CUCAUCCUGGUGGUUUCAUGUGGAAAGAGCCCCCCUCCCCCGGCCCAUGGUAGCUGUGGCUUGCUUUAAUUCUGCCUCCCACAUGAAAAAUUAUUCAUCUCUUUAAGGAAAAGAACAGCAAAAGAGAGCUUUGGCUAUCAUUUCUUUUCAUCCUCGAAGUCUCCAGCAAAGUCUCAUUCCCCUGCAGGCCUUGCCCCUUCCAUUUCCUUCUCACCUGUCCUCUUUUUCACCCUCUUCUCUUUGCUCUUCAUGCUUGCUGUCCCCCAGGACUCUGAGGAGGAAGUCCAGUAGGGUCAAAGGCUUCUCACCAGGCCUCUCACCAGCCCCUCAUCUGGCCCUGUACACCUGUAACACCCCUGAAUCCUCCUCAGGGUACUUCUCUGAGGAUGACUCUGCAGGGCACUCCGUUAUCCACCAGCCUGGCUCUGCAUCCACCUCCAAUAAUGGUGCCUCCCAACUUGGCAUCUUUAACUGGAUGGCAAUAUACAUUUCAGGUGGGUUGUACCAGGGGGUGGCCACAGUGCCCAGGGGAGUGGUGCUUCACUGUACCGAGAAGAGUUUCUUCAUGCCUAUGCAGGGCCAAGCUGGGCCAGGGUGGAGUAACUUGAGGACUCUAUGGGGAGAUGGGCUUAUUAUGGAAGGAUCCCCAAGCACAGCUGAAGAGCUCUGGGAGGAUGGAAGAGCAGAAUAGCCAGAAGCAGCUGCAGAGUUGGCAUGCUGGGAGACGACUAGAUCUGGGAAAGGAUGGGCUGGCAGGGGCAAGCCUUUGAAUCCCUCUGCUGGGCCCUUUACAGGUUGGCUCUUUGCAGCAUUCCAGUGGUGCCUGGGAAACGCCUGGCACUGCCUGACCACAGCUGCCUCCCUCCAGGAUUUCUUUCUGUUAAUCAGGUCAGUGAGGCCUCCCUGGGGCAUGUCACAAUCUAAGAUCCACUGCUCCAAGGGACUCCACAGUCCUCCAGGUCAAUUUCCCCUUAGGCUUUGCCCUGUUCCUUUUCAGCUUUUGGAGACUUUUACUCAAUGAAUCUUAUGAUAGACUCAGGUCAGGGCCAGGAGUGUGCUGGGACCAGCUGCAACCUGCUCCUGAGAGUCAGCUCCCAGUUAGGGUUUCAUUGAGUGUCUCUACUGAAGAAGAUGAUGGGAGAAAUGGGUUGUGGGUGCCUUGCCCUCCUCCAGAGCUGGUUGUUGAACAUUUAGCAGCACUCGCCUGCCCCCAUUCCUCUUGCUUCUUCAGGGAAGUGGGUUGGCUCUGACUACAAGUGGGACUCUCUUCCUGAGUAUCUUUUAGGAGCUCUCCCCUCAGUAGUUCCUGCCUCUGAUCACAACUGAGUCUGGUGAGUUCACUUCUGCUAGUCUGAGGGUCCUGAGUUUGCAGGGACACUCCCUCCUUUGGGGUUCCAAUCCAGAAUUUUCUGCCCAGUCUUCCAGGUCUCCAGGCCAUGCUUGCAGUUUCUCUGUGGAGGAGCAUGGGCAGUUCUCCAGGCUGCCUCCAGGGCUGAAUCCAGGAGCCUCUAGAGCAGGGGUGGGGAACCUGAGGUCCCCAGGCCACAUGUGGCCUUCUAGGUGCUUGGGUGCGACUUUUGAACUCAGUCCGAGUUUGACAGAAUCAAUCCUUUGCUGAAGGGGAUUGAUUUGGUGAACUCUGGUUACAGUGGAGGACCUAGUGGACCACAUGUGUCCUCGAGGCUGGUAGG
rnacentral:lncRNA from 1 species